rnacentral:misc_RNA from 1 species
CCUUUCAAUGCAGAAGAGUUGAGGUGGUUGAGUAUCUCGCCCCUCAAUUCUCGCUGUAUUUUUACCCUUGUUUUUCUCAUACUAUUAUUUCCUCGGCAGGCCAGCCUGCCGGGUGAAACAACUUCAAACCUGUUUAAUUUUCAAUCAGCGUCUGAACAAAUAAUAAUUA